UACGUAGGGCGCAAGCGUUGUCCGGAAUUAUUGGGCGUAAAGAGCUCGUAGGUGGAUUGUCGCGUCUGUCGUGAAAGCCCGGGGCUUAACUCCGGGUCUGCGGUGGAUACGGGCAGGCUAGAGGCAGGUAGGGGAGAAUGGAAUUCCCGGUGUAGCGGUGAAAUGCGCAGAUAUCGGGAGGAACACCGGUGGCGAAGGCGGUUCUCUGGGCCUGUACUGACGCUUAGGAGCGAAAGCGUGGGGAGCGAACAGG
rnacentral:rRNA from 1 species